rnacentral:rRNA from 1 species
CAGUAGCCGCGGUAAUACGGAGGGUGCAAGCGUUAAUCGGAAUUACUGGGCGUAAAGCGCACGCAGGCGGUCUGUCAAGUCGGAUGUGAAAUCCCCGGGCUCAACCUGGGAACUGCAUUCGAAACUGGCAGGCUAGAGUCUUGUAGAGGGGGGUAGAAUUCCAGGUGUAGCGGUGAAAUGCGUAGAGAUCUGGAGGAAUACCGGUGGCGAAGGCGGCCCCCUGGACAAAGACUGACGCUCAGGUGCGAAAGCGUGGGGAGCAAACAGGAUUAGAUACCCCUGUAGUCCCUGUCUCUUAUAA